UCAGAAACUGGUCAGACAUUCCCAGAGUGGUUGAGAGCCUGUCAAGGUCACUGCCAAGGACAAGAGAGUCAAUUAGUAUGCAGAUCAGAGGCAAGGAGUUCAAAGUGUCAAGAUGGAGAGAGCAUUUUGCUGAUCUGGGUUAUUGUCUGGGGGGCCUCACUUAGAAGAAAGUGUGAAGAUGAGAGAAGAAGGAGGAACAAAGGACAUAGUGAUGCUGGUGUUGGUGGAGGGCAGACACAAUCCUGCUCCAGGGAGCAUAAGGACAGUACCAGUUUCCCAUCGACAGCUAUACAAGUUUCCAUGAAGUGGACCAAGAGGGCCAAGGGUUUUCCCACCUCCUCUGCACUGGCCAGUGGAGUGAAGCUAAGGAUGAUUACAGUUCUCUUCUGCAAGAUGUUCGGAGUCUGA
rnacentral:lncRNA from 1 species